rnacentral:rRNA from 1 species
GACGAACGCUGGCGGCGUGCUUAACACAUGCAAGUCGAACGGAAAGGCCCUGCUUUUGUGGGGUGCUCGAGUGGCGAACGGGUGAGUAACACGUGAGUAACCUGCCCUUGACUUUGGGAUAACUUCAGGAAACUGGGGCUAAUACCGGAUAGGAGCUCCUGCUGCAUGGUGGGGGUUGGAAAGUUUCGGCGGUUGGGGAUGGACUCGCGGCUUAUCAGCUUGUUGGUGGGGUAGUGGCUUACCAAGGCUUUGACGGGUAGCCGGCCUGAGAGGGUGACCGGCCACAUUGGGACUGAGAUACGGCCCAGACUCCUACGGGAGGCAGCAGUGGGGAAUAUUGCACAAUGGGCGGAAGCCUGAUGCAGCAACGCCGCGUGCGGGAUGACGGCCUUCGGGGCUGUAAAACCCG